GUUGAACCGACGGAGAGAUUUUCGGCACCAGUGGCUGAACUUGAUUGUCAACCUGGCUGGCCGUCUAUCAUGAGGUGGCGGCAUUGGAAAGCCAAGAAGAUGUCCGUCUUGGAGCCAUGAAUGCGAAUGUAUGCCCUUCCUCUAUCUGUUGCUGCUUAAAUCGAUCGGGGUCAGAAGAUGGACACCUGAAAAUCUCGAGUGGAGAUGCUGGCGCUGGAGUGAUCUGCCAAAUAAGUUUCAAAUCGGAGGUUGUGGCUCCGACCGCUCAAGUC
rnacentral:lncRNA from 1 species